GGAAAGAUGACCGAGUGGUCUAUGGUGUAACAUUGGAAAUGUUAUGUAAAUUUAAUUUUACCGAGGGUUCAAAUCCCUCUCUUUCCU
rnacentral:tRNA from 1 species